rnacentral:rRNA from 1 species
UCUGAAAGAGAUUAAAGAUUUAUCGGUGAUGGAUGGGGAUGCGUCUGAUUAGCUUGUUGGCGGGGUAACGGCCCACCAUGGCAACGAUCAGUAGGGGUUCUGAGAGGAAGGUCCCCCACAUUGGAACUGAGACACGGUCCAAACUCCUACGGGAGGCAGCAGUGAGGAAUAUUGGUCAAUGGACGAGAGUCUGAACCAGCCAAGUAGCGUGCAGGAUGACGGCCCUAUGGGUUGUAAACUGCUUUUAUAAGGGAAUAAAGUGAGUCUCGUGAGACUUUUUGCAUGUACCUUAUGAAUAAGGACCGGCUAAUUCCGUGCCAGCAGCCGCGGUAAUACGGAAGGUCCGGGCGUUAUCCGGAUUUAUUGGGUUUAAAGGGAGCGUAGGCCGGAGAUUAGGCGUGUUGUGAAAUGUAGACGCUCAACGUCUGCACUGCAGCGCGAACUGGUUUCCUUGAGUACGCACAAAGUGGGCGGAAUUCGUGGUGUAGCGGUGAAAUGCUUAGAUAUCACGAAGAACUCCGAUUGCGAAGGCAGCUCACUGGAGCGCAACUGACGCUGAAGCUCGAAAGUGCGGGUAUCGAACAGGAUUAGAUACCCUGGUAGUCCGCACGGUAAACGAUGGAUGCCCGCUGUUGGUCUGAAUAGGUCAGCGGCCAAGCGAAAGCAUUAAGCAUCCCACCUGGGGAGUACGCCGGCAACGGUGAAA